rnacentral:rRNA from 1 species
UACAAAAGUAAUUAAGGGCUUACGGUGAAUACCUUGGCAUUUAGAAGCGAUGAAGGGCGUGACUACCAGCGAAAUGCUUCGAGGAGCUGGAAGUAAGCUUUGAUCCGGAGGUACCCGAAUGAGGAAACUCUUUAUACUACCUACUGAAUUUAUAAGUAGGCAAGAGCUAACCUAGCAAACUGAAACAUCUUAGUAGCUAGAGGAAAAGAAAGCAAAAGCGAUUCCCUAAGUAGCGGCGAGCGAAAAGGGAACAGCCUAAACCACUUUAAUGAGUUUUAGUGGGGUUGCGGGACAGAAAAAAACAAAUACAUGCGUUAGGUGAAACAAAUGGAAUUUUGUAUCAUAGAAGGUGACAAUCCUGUAGCUAAAAACAAUUUAUUUGUUUCUGCAUCCCAAGUAGCAUGGGACACGUGAAAUCCUGUCUGAAUAUGGGGGGACCAUCCUCGUAAGGCUAAAUACUCCUGACUGACCGAUAGUGAACCAGUACCGUGAGGGAAAGGCGAAAAGAACCCCGGCGAGGGGAGUGAAAUAGAACCUGAAACCGUGUACGUACAAGCAGUAGAAGAACGACUUAACGUUUAACUUCGUGCAUGUUGAAGAAUGAGCCGGCGACUUACAGGUAGUGGCAGGUUAAAAUAGAAAAUAUUAGAGCCAUAGUGAAAGCGAGCUUAAAUAAAGCGUACGUCACUAUUUGUAGACCCGAACCCGGAUGAUCUAGCCAUGGCCAGGGUGAAGCUUAGGUAAUGCUAAGUGGAGGUCCGAACCGACUGAUGUUGAAAAAUCAGCGGACGAGCUGUGGCUAGGGGUGAAAUGCCAAUCGAAUCCGGAGCUAGCUGGUUCUCCCCGAAAUGCGUUUUGGCGCAGCGCCUCGUGAACUCAUCUUCGGGGGUAGAGCACUGUUUCGGCUAGGGGGCCAUCCCGGCUUACCAAACCGAUGCAAACUCCGAAUACCAAUGAGUACUAUCCGGGAGACAGACUGCGGGUGCUAACGUCCGUAGUCAAGAGGGAAACAACCCAGACCGCCAGCUAAGGUCCCAAAAUCCUAGCUAAGUGGGAAAGCAGGUGGGACGACCAAAACAACCAGGAGGUUGGCUUAGAAGCAGCCAUCCUUUAAAGAGUGCGUAAUAGCUCACUGGUCUAGUGAUCCUGCGCCGAAAAUGAAUGGGACUAAGCUAUUUGCCGAAACUGUGAGAUGUAAAACAUCGGUAGGGGAGCGUUCUGUAAUAGGUUGAAGCAUUAGUGAAAACGAAUGUGGACAAAACAGAAGUGAGAAUGUCGGCUUGAGUAGCGAAAACAUUGGUGAGAAUCCAAUGCCCCGAAAACCUAAGGGUUCCUUCGGAAGGUUCGUCCGCGAAGGGUGAGUCAGGUCCUAAGGCGAGGUUGAAAAGCGUAGUCGAUGGAUAACAGGUUAAUAUUCCUGUACUAUUUACUAUUGAUAUUGAGGGACGGAGAAGGCUAAAUCAGCCGAGUGUUGGUUAUCGGUUUAAAUUCUCGAAGGUGUGGAAGGAUAGAGAAAAUAUCCUGAGCUAAGAAAUGAGUACAAGAUACUACGGUAUUAAAGUGAUUGAUGUCAUACUUCCUAGAAAAGCUCGGCAUAUCUUAAAUAGUAAAUACCUGUACCCAGAACCGACACAGGUAGGUAAGUAGAAUAUACUAAGGGGUGCGAGAUAACUCUCUCUAAGGAACUCGGCAAAAUAGCCCCGUAACUUCGGAAGAAGGGGUGCCCUUGUAGGGUUGCAAUAAAUAGACCCAAGCGACUGUUUAUCAAAAACAUAGGUCUCCGCUAAGUCGUAAGACAAUGUAUGGGGGCUGACGCCUGCCCAGUGCCGGAAGGUUAAAGAAGCUGGUUAGUGUUAAACAAAGCUGGCAACUGAAGCCCCGGUGAACGGCGGCCGUAACUAUAACGGUCCUAAGGUAGCGAAAUUCCUUGUCGGGUAAGUUCCGACCCGCACGAAUGGCGUAACGAUUUGGGUACUGUCUCAGAGAGAGAGACUCGGCGAAAUAGAAUUGUCUGUGAAGAUGCGGACUACCUACACCUGGACAGAAAGACCCUAUGAAGCUUUACUGUAACUUGGAAUUGAAGUUGGGUUUACUUUGUGCAGAAUAGGUGGGAGGCUAAGAUAAUAUAUUUGAGGAUAUAUAGGAGCCGUCAGUGAGAUACCACUCUAAGUACACUAGGCUUCUAACCUUGAAAGCCGUUAACCGGCCAAGGAACAGUUUCAGGCGGGCAGUUUGACUGGGGCGGUCUCCUCCCAAAGAGUAACGGAGGCGCGCGAAGGUUGGCUCAGAGCGGUCGGACAUCGUGAGGUUGAGUGCAAAGGCAUAAGCUAGCUUGACUGCAAGACCUACAAGUCGAGCAGAGACGAAAGUCGGUCUUAGUGAUCCGACAGUUCUGAGUGGAAAGGCUGUCGCUCAACAGAUAAAAGGAACUCUAGGGAUAACAGAUUCAUCGUGACUGCGAGUUCAUAUCUAUGUCACGGUUUGAUACCUCGAUGUCGACUCAUCUUAUCCUGGAGUUGAAGUAAACUCCAAGGGUUUGGCUGUUCGCCAAUUAAAGUGGUACGCGAGCUGGGUUUAGAACGUCGUGAGACAGUUCGGUCCCUAUCUGCCGUGGGCGUUGGAAGAUUGAGGAGGGGUUGCUCCUAGUACGAGAGGACCGGGAGUGAACGCACCUCUGGUGUACCAGUUAUUGUGCCAACUGUAAACGCUGGGUAGCUAAGUAUGUUUAGGAUAACCGCUGAAAGCAUCUAAGUGGGAAGCCAACCUCAAGAUGAGUACUCUUUAAGAUCACGGUUAGACUAACCGUUAGAUAGGCAUCAAGUGUAAGUAUAGUAAUAUAUUCAGCUGAGAUGUACUAAUAGAUCAAACACUUUAAAGUUAGU